rnacentral:rRNA from 1 species
UACAGAGGGUGCGAGCGUUGUUCGGAGUUACUGGGCGUAAAGGGUGUGUAGGCGGUUCUUUAAGUUUGGUGUGAAAUCUCCCGGCUCAACCGGGAGGGUGCGCCGAAUACUGAGGGACUUCGAGUGCGGGAGAGGAAAGUGGAAUUCCUGGUGUAGCGGUGAAAUGCGUAGAUAUCAGGAGGAACACCGGUGGUGUAGACGGCUUUCUGGACCGUAACUGACGCUGAGACACGAAAGCGUGGGUAGCAAACAGG